rnacentral:tRNA from 1 species
UGGAGGAGGGUGGAUUCGAACCGCCGAACUCAGAGAGAGCGGUUUUACAGACCGCCGCGUUUAGCCACUUCGCUACUCCUCC